GGGCUCGGCGCGUAGUCUUUAUUAUUUCAGCGUUGUUCGUGGAACAGGUCUGAUCAUAACCAUGAGUGGAA